rnacentral:rRNA from 1 species
CGCCCACUAGCUAGCUCACCCACCUAAACCCAACAACCCCCUAUCUAUAACCCCUAAUUAAAUUACGCACCUUUUAAACAAAUCAUUUUUCCCCCUGAGUAUGGGCGACAGAAAAGGACCUACCAGUAAGCAACAGCAUUAGUACCGCAAGGGAACGCUGAAAGAGAAGUGAAACAAAUCAGUUAAGCACAAAAAAGCAGAGUUCCACCCUCGUACCUUUUGCAUCAUGAUUUAGCAAGAAAGCAUCAAGCGAAAAGAAUUUUAGUUUGAUUUCCCGAAACCAAGUGAGCUACUCCAAGACAGCCUUUAGGGCGCACCCGUCUCUGUGGCAAAAGAGUGGGAAGAUCUUCGAGUAGAGGUGACAGACCUACCGAACUUGGUUAUAGCUGGUUGUCCAGGAAUUGAAUAGGAGUUCAGCCUUUUACCAUCUUCUCACAAACACCGGCCACUCCCCAAGAGUUGAAGAUGGCCAAAAGAGUUAAUCGAAGGGGGUACAGCCCCUUUGAAAAAGAUACAACUUUACCAGCAGGGUUAAGAUCAUAUCAAAUCUCAAGGAGCAUGUUAUAGUUGGCCUAAGAGCAGCCACCCAAUUAGAAAGCGUUAAAGCUCAGACACCUCUCCUUCCCAUUAUCCCGACCACCCAAAUCUUACCCCCCUAAACCUACUGGACCGUCCCAUACCCCUAUGGGAGAGACUAUGCUAAUAUGAGUAAUAAGAGACCCUGCGUCUCUCCCCGCACAAGUGUACAUCGGAACGAACCCCCACCGACAAUUAACGGCCCCAUUCCCAGAGGGAACUGGAACAUUAUGGCCCGGCCACUAGAAGCACAUCCAUGCCUUUUACCGUUAACCUUACACCAGAGUGCCUAGCAAGGAAAGACUAAAAGAAAGAGAAGGAACUCGGCA